rnacentral:lncRNA from 1 species
GUGCCCGCCCGCCACGAACACCGCCCGAUCCGCAUCCGACGCCGCGCACGCGAAGAAAGACCGCCGGGGCCCCGGCAUGCGGGCCCCGCGGCGCCACGUCGCCGACACGAAGUCGAAGACGAACACCUCGUCGGAGGCGGCCCAGGUGCGCGGGUCCCAUCCGCCGGUGACCACGAGCUCGGUCCCGACGGCGGCCAGCUGGCAGAAGAGAGGGAGGCCGUGGUGGAGGCCCGGGAUGGGCGGGAGCGGGGCCCAGGCGGCGGUGGAGGCGUCGAAGAGGGCGAGGCGGUACAGCGGGGCGAGGGUGGCAUGGUUCUUGGUGGCGGGCGGGCUCGGCGUGGGCUCGGUCUGGGCGACGACGACGAGUGGGCGGGCGAGGCCGGCGGAUUUGCGGAGGUGGUGAAAGGGGGACGACUCCACCUCCUGCUUCCAGAGCUUGCAAACGGAGCGGGCCGUGCCAAAGGCGUCGUGCGGGACGCGAAGAAGGCACUCCCGAGCGAUCUCUUCCGGAAGGCCUGGUAUCAGAUCCUCCAUC